UACGAAGGGGGCUAGCGUUGUUCGGAAUUACUGGGCGUAAAGCGCGCGCAGGCGGCUAUCCAAGUCAGUGGUGAAAGCCCGGAGCUCAACCCCGGAACUGCCUUUGAUACUGGCGAGCUUGAGUCCGGGAGAGGUGAGUGGAACUGCGAGUGUAGAGGUGAAAUUCGUAGAUAUUCGCAAGAACACCAGUGGCGAAGGCGGCUCACUGGCCCGGUACUGACGCUGAGGUGCGAAAGCGUGGGGAGCAAACAGG
rnacentral:rRNA from 1 species